GGGUUGUGAGGUUAAGCGACUAAGCGUACACGGUGGAUGCCCUGGCAGUCAGAGGCGAUGAAGGACGUGCUAAUCUGCGAUAAGCGUCGGUAAGGUGAUAUGAACCGUUAUAACCGGCGAUUUCCGAAUGGGGAAACCCAGUGUGAUUCGUCACACUAUCAUUAACUGAAUCCAUAGGUUAAUGAGGCGAACCGGGGGAACUGAAACAUCUAAGUACCCCGAGGAAAAGAAAUCAACCGAGAUUCCCCCAGUAGCGGCGAGCGAACGGGGAGGAGCCCAGAGCCUGAAUCAGUGUGUGUGUUAGUGGAAGCGUCUGGAAAGGCGCGCGAUACAGGGUGACAGCCCCGUACACAAAAAUGCACAUGCUGUGAGCUCGAUGAGUAGGGCGGGACACGUGGUAUCCUGUCUGAAUAUGGGGGGACCAUCCUCCAAGGCUAAAUACUCCUGACUGACCGAUAGUGAACCAGUACCGUGAGGGAAAGGCGAAAAGAACCCCGGCGAGGGGAGUGAAAAAGAACCUGAAACCGUGUACGUACAAGCAGUGGGAGCCUCUUUAUGGGGUGACUGCGUACCUUUUGUAUAAUGGGUCAGCGACUUAUAUUCUGUAGCAAGGUUAACCGAAUAGGGGAGCCGAAGGGAAACCGAGUCUUAACUGGGCGUUAAGUUGCAGGGUAUAGACCCGAAACCCGGUGAUCUAGCCAUGGGCAGGUUGAAGGUUGGGUAACACUAACUGGAGGACCGAACCGACUAAUGUUGAAAAAUUAGCGGAUGACUUGUGGCUGGGGGUGAAAGGCCAAUCAAACCGGGAGAUAGCUGGUUCUCCCCGAAAGCUAUUUAGGUAGCGCCUCGUGAAUUCAUCUCCGGGGGUAGAGCACUGUUUCGGCAAGGGGGUCAUCCCGACUUACCAACCCGAUGCAAACUGCGAAUACCGGAGAAUGUUAUCACGGGAGACACACGGCGGGUGCUAACGUCCGUCGUGAAGAGGGAAACAACCCAGACCGCCAGCUAAGGUCCCAAAGUCAUGGUUAAGUGGGAAACGAUGUGGGAAGGCCCAGACAGCCAGGAUGUUGGCUUAGAAGCAGCCAUCAUUUAAAGAAAGCGUAAUAGCUCACUGGUCGAGUCGGCCUGCGCGGAAGAUGUAACGGGGCUAAACCAUGCACCGAAGCUGCGGCAGCGACGCUUAUGCGUUGUUGGGUAGGGGAGCGUUCUGUAAGCCUGUGAAGGUGUGCUGUGAGGCAUGCUGGAGGUAUCAGAAGUGCGAAUGCUGACAUAAGUAACGAUAAAGCGGGUGAAAAGCCCGCUCGCCGGAAGACCAAGGGUUCCUGUCCAACGUUAAUCGGGGCAGGGUGAGUCGACCCCUAAGGCGAGGCCGAAAGGCGUAGUCGAUGGGAAACAGGUUAAUAUUCCUGUACUUGGUGUUACUGCGAAGGGGGGACGGAGAAGGCUAUGUUGGCCGGGCGACGGUUGUCCCGGUUUAAGCGUGUAGGCUGGUUUUCCAGGCAAAUCCGGAAAAUCAAGGCUGAGGCGUGAUGACGAGGCACUACGGUGCUGAAGCAACAAAUGCCCUGCUUCCAGGAAAAGCCUCUAAGCAUCAGGUAACAUCAAAUCGUACCCCAAACCGACACAGGUGGUCAGGUAGAGAAUACCAAGGCGCUUGAGAGAACUCGGGUGAAGGAACUAGGCAAAAUGGUGCCGUAACUUCGGGAGAAGGCACGCUGAUAUGUAGGUGAAGUCCCUCGCGGAUGGAGCUGAAAUCAGUCGAAGAUACCAGCUGGCUGCAACUGUUUAUUAAAAACACAGCACUGUGCAAACACGAAAGUGGACGUAUACGGUGUGACGCCUGCCCGGUGCCGGAAGGUUAAUUGAUGGGGUCAGCGCAAGCGAAGCUCUUGAUCGAAGCCCCGGUAAACGGCGGCCGUAACUAUAACGGUCCUAAGGUAGCGAAAUUCCUUGUCGGGUAAGUUCCGACCUGCACGAAUGGCGUAAUGAUGGCCAGGCUGUCUCCACCCGAGACUCAGUGAAAUUGAACUCGCUGUGAAGAUGCAGUGUACCCGCGGCAAGACGGAAAGACCCCGUGAACCUUUACUAUAGCUUGACACUGAACAUUGAGCCUUGAUGUGUAGGAUAGGUGGGAGGCUUAGAAGUGUGGACGCCAGUCUGCAUGGAGCCGACCUUGAAAUACCACCCUUUAAUGUUUGAUGUUCUAACGUUGACCCGUAAUCCGGGUUGCGGACAGUGUCUGGUGGGUAGUUUGACUGGGGCGGUCUCCUCCUAAAGAGUAACGGAGGAGCACGAAGGUUGGCUAAUCCUGGUCGGACAUCAGGAGGUUAGUGCAAUGGCAUAAGCCAGCUUGACUGCGAGCGUGACGGCGCGAGCAGGUGCGAAAGCAGGUCAUAGUGAUCCGGUGGUUCUGAAUGGAAGGGCCAUCGCUCAACGGAUAAAAGGUACUCCGGGGAUAACAGGCUGAUACCGCCCAAGAGUUCAUAUCGACGGCGGUGUUUGGCACCUCGAUGUCGGCUCAUCACAUCCUGGGGCUGAAGUAGGUCCCAAGGGUAUGGCUGUUCGCCAUUUAAAGUGGUACGCGAGCUGGGUUUAGAACGUCGUGAGACAGUUCGGUCCCUAUCUGCCGUGGGCGCUGGAGAACUGAGGGGGGCUGCUCCUAGUACGAGAGGACCGGAGUGGACGCAUCACUGGUGUUCGGGUUGUCAUGCCAAUGGCACUGCCCGGUAGCUAAAUGCGGAAGAGAUAAGUGCUGAAAGCAUCUAAGCACGAAACUUGCCCCGAGAUGAGUUCUCCCUGACUCCUUGAGAGUCCUGAAGGAACGUUGAAGACGACGACGUUGAUAGGCCGGGUGUGUAAGCGCAGCGAUGCGUUGAGCUAACCGGUACUAAUGAACCGUGAGGCUUAACCUUACAACGCCGAAGCUGUU
rnacentral:rRNA from 1 species